rnacentral:rRNA from 1 species
GAUGAACGCUGGCGGUGUGCCUAAUACAUGCAAGUCGAGCGAACAGACGAGGAGCUUGCUCCUCUGACGUUAGCGGCGGACGUGUGAGUAACACGUGGAUAACGUACCUAUAAGACUGGGAUAACUUCGGGAAACCGGAUCUAAUACCGUAUAAUAUAUUGAAGCGUAUGAUUCAAUAGUGAAAUACGGUUGUGCUGUCACUUAUAGAUGGAUCCUCGCCGCAUUAGGUAGUUGGUAAGGUAACGGCUUACCAAGGCAACGAUGCGUAGCCGACCUGAGAGGGUGAUAGGCAACACUGGAACUGAGACACGGUCCAGACUCCUACGGGAGGCAGCAGUAGGGAAUCUUCCGAAAUGGGCGAAAGCCUGACGGAGCAACGCCGCGUGAGUGAUGAAGGUCUUCGGAUCGUAAAACUCUGUUAUUAGGGAAGAACAAAUGUGUAAGUAACUAUGCACGUCUUGACGGUACCUAAUCAGAAAGCCACGGCUAACUACGUG